AGGUACUUCGCGGAGCCAAGACUAACUAGCGAGCGGGAGCCGGGGACUUGGGUUUUAUCAAGGUUGAUGAACUAGAAGCGCUGCAGGUGCUUGAGGCUGUUUUCGAGUGCAGGAAGGCGAUUGAAUGUGAGUCACGUGAUACUGGAGGGUUCUAGGCCUCUUUUCGUCAAGGGAGGACGAGCGCCAAGCGAAAGAGCGUGACGGGGAUCGCGGACAAGAGGCAGUGA